UAAGCGGAGGAAAAGAAACCAACAGGGAUUGCCUCAGUAGCGGCGAGUGAAGCGGCAAAAGCUCAAAUUUGAAAUCUGGCGUCUUUGGCGUCCGAGUUGUAAUUUGAAGAAGGUAUCUUUGGGCCCGGCUCUUGUCUAUGUUCCUUGGAACAGGACGUCACAGAGGGUGAGAAUCCCGUGCGAUGAGAUGACCCGGGUCUGUGUAAAGUUCCUUUGACGAGUCGAGUUGUUUGGGAAUGCAGCUCUAAGUGGGUGGUAAAUUCCAUCUAAAGCUAAAUAUUGGCGAGAGACCGAUAGCGAACAAGUACAGUGAUGGAAAGAUGAAAAGAACUUUGAAAAGAGAGUGAAAAAGUACGUGAAAUUGUUGAAAGGGAAGGGCUUGAGAUCAGACUUGGUAUUUUGCAUGCUGCUCUCUCGGGGGCGGCCGCUGCGGUUUACCGGGCCAGCAUCGGUUUGGAGCGGCAGGAUAAUGGCGGAGGAAUGUGGCACGGCUUCUGCUGUGUGUUAUAGCCUCUGACGAUACUGCCAGCCUAGACCGAGGACUGCGGUUUUUUUACCUAGGAUGUUGGCAUAAUGAUCUUAAGUCGCCCGUCUUG
rnacentral:rRNA from 1 species